rnacentral:tRNA from 1 species
AGUCUUAUAUUCAAAAAUGAUAUAAAAUUGCAAAUUUUAUGGUGUAAAAUUACUAAGGCUU